rnacentral:rRNA from 1 species
CCUACGGGGGGCAGCAGUGGGGAAUAUUGCGCAAUGGGCGAAAGCCUGACGCAGCGACGCCGCGUGAGGGAUGAAGGUCUUCGGAUCGUAAACCUCUGUCAGCAGGGAAGAACGGUCACUGUGCUAAUCAGCCGUGAAUUGACGGUACCUGCAAAGGAAGCACCGGCUAACUCCGUGCCAGCAGCCGCGGUAAUACGGAGGGCGCGAGCGUUAAUCGGAAUUACUGGGCGUAAAGCGCGCGUAGGCGGUAUGGCAAGUCAAGGGUGAAAUCCCCGGGCUCAACGGGGGAACUGCCUUUGAAACUGGGAAACUGGAGUGUGGGAGAGGAUAGUGGAAUUCCAGGUGUAGGAGUGAAAUCCGUAGAUAUCUGGAGGAACAUCAGUGGCGAAGGCGACUAUCUGGCACAUAACUGACGCUGAGGAGCGAAAGCGUGGGUAGCAAACAGGAUUAGAUACCCUAGUAGUC